CGCCGAGACCCCCGGCCGCCGCCCCUCCGCCUCUGCUGGCAGCGGGCUGCGCGGCGGGCACAGAGCUGCGGACCGGCUCGGGGUCCCGGGCUGAGCCCCGCGCCCAGUGUCAGACAGGGGGCAGGGACGCCUGAAGGUCACUGCGGACGCCCGCCGGCCCCCUCCGCGGCCUGGUUUCCCCACGGCUGCGGCUGCACCACGAGGUCUGCUGGGGCCACCCCCACUCACCCGGGUCCUGCAGGACACGUCCGCCGCAGCCCUUCUCAGCUCUCUUGCUCAGGCCUGCGCUGGACUGGGAUUCAGCCCUGACUCAGCCAUGACGAGGACCCUUCUGGAAGGGCUCAGGAAGGCCGACUGAUGCGACCCGAGGUGGCACCUGGAAACUACAAAUGCAAACUCCACGAGGCAGCACCCGGCACCACACUGGGUGCCACCAUUUCCUUCUAGAUCUUCUCUUCUCUUGAGAGGCGACCGUGUGAGAAGCAGGGUGCAAGGCCGUCCUUGUUGCCAGAGCUGGGCUUAGGCCGAGGGGGCACCUCGCAGCCACGGGAUCUGUGGGACUCCCGCUGCUAUGGCCUGGCCCACGGCCUGUCGGUUCACAGCGCCAGAGACCGAAAUCCCACUGGUCAGCCCGCUGGUGUCCUGUGUCCUGCCUGUGGCUGGGGCUUGUGCUGGGCUCUGGGCUCUGCUGCCCCCAGGCACAUCCUCCUGAACUUGUGCUCCCAGUGGGGAGUGCGGUGGCCUCCAACAAGGCCCUGUUCCCACCUCCCUGCCACCCAGAGCCUGGCUGGACAGGCCUCAGUCCCCGCACCAGCGUGCUCUCCCCACGUCCCCCAGGACACUUCCUUCCAUACAGUCCUGCACGGCCCUGGCCCCACAGCCUGGCUACCUUGCUGUCCUCCUGUCCCCUCACCUCCAUCCCACAGCGGACGGAUCCAGCCCUGCUACGCUUGGCUCACCACCCAUUCCUGCAUUCACACAGCAGAGUCCUGUCUUUCUGCAGCCAGGGCUUUACCAGUUGAUCCCAGUGAAGUUUGGAGAGCGGAAGGGUGAUUUUACCAGGCGUGGGCAUGAGGGACUGGACGUGUGCCCCCAGGAUGCACUGACUUAUGGGGGUGAACUUUGGGGGGCCCAACCAGAGUGGGUGCAGGUGGGAAUGCGUGGGGCCCUUAUGGGUCAGGGUGAAUGAGGGGUCUGUCGGAAGGGGCAUCUUGGUUCUGGCUCCAGGCAGACAAGGGACCAGCAGGGUUGAGACCUGGGUCACCUUCACCCACUGCCCACUGUCCUGGGUGGGGACUGGGCUCAGGGCUCGGCAUGUGGCCCUGGCUGCGGAGGGUACACACUGUCUGCUCGGUGUGGACAGGCAGGGCCCUGAACGCCCAUAGCUAGUGACCCUGGGCCGGGACACAGGGCAGUUAGGCCCAUGAGCUGGGGCCGGCUGAGGCCCACACCAGCCAGACAGGGACACAGAUGUUGUCUGCCAGGCUUGCCCAGCCUUAGAGAGCCCAGAGCACAGGCACAAUCUGCACCCACUCCCUCCCCACUUGGUGGGUGGCCAGACACAAACACCCAGGGACCAGCCUGGUGGGCAAAGACCUCUAAUGCCGAAGGCUGCUUAAAAAGAAAAUCAGGAGGGGAGAAGAUAGGCUGAAACUAGCGCCAUUGACCACAUAGACAAGAAUGGAGCCUGGAUGUGCUGCCUGUCUGUACCAGGGCAGGCACCCGGCUGCAGGGCUGUGGAUUCAGCCAGGCAAGCCCCAAACCACGAACACCAGGUUUGGAUUUUCAGGACCAAGUGGAGGUGGUAAAGACCCCUGUGAUGUAACCUGCUUCUAUGCACACCACAACCUGGACGGUCAGCCUUUGUGGCCAGGGCACUCGGCAGGGGAUAGAGGAAUGGCAUCUGGAGUGCUGGGAGAGGACGGGGCGCAGGCCACUUGGUGGGGGUCGCUAAGCAGGGCCACGUCCCAGGCCUCACUGCCUCCCAUGUGAGUGCCCAGCCUGUUCCUCUGGCCUUCGGAAAGUCCAGCCUUAUGCCUGCCUAUGUUGGCCAUGGACACAGGUGACCUGCCGGGCCCCAGACCCAGCUCUCAGCCUCCUGGAAACCUCGGAUGGAGCCCAGAGGUCAAAGGGGCCAGACCCGCUUGAACACAGGCCACGUUGCACGCAGUGGGCCUUGGGUGCUCCCUCUCUGGCCUGCAGACCCCUUACCAGCCAAGGCGGAAACCUGGCCAUCCAGGAGCUAGAGGAUGGGCCCAGCACCCUGUCUAGGACUGAACAGAUGUGAGCUGAGCAGGCUGCAGGCCUGUACCUUUGUGACCUCCCAGGGCUGCCCGGUAUGGGAAAUGGGCAGCCCUAUGCAGACCAGGCCCAGGUCUGGAGCUUCAGCUGCUGGUCACCAAUCAGGGCAGGCUGGCUGUCUCCACCUUUGUCCUGCCCAACUUGUGCCAUCAAAGGCAAGCUGCCUCCUGUCCCUCGGCCUGGAGUCCCAGGACUGCCCGAGAGGCCUCGGCACACAGAGUGGGGCCUGGCAUGACUGCUGUUUCAGAUGAGUUGAGCCCACCCUGGGGUGGGGCCACCCUGCCGGGGGGCUGUAGCACACAGGGGCUGAGCUGCCAAGCUGUGGCCCGGUCCCCACAGGCAACUGGGCGUGAGUACCAGGAGGAGCAGUGAGGUGGACUGAGGACAGUGCCCAGCUGCAGGACCUCAGAGGCACAGGGCAGGGCUGGGGGCUCAUGGGAGAGGCUCAUGAGGACGGCGUCCUGGCAUCCUCUGGCCUUCACUGCCAGACUCCCCGAGUCCCCAAGGCCUCUCUCAGGAGUGUGCCUCGUCCUACAUGAGCCAAGCAUGCAGCACCCUGUCUUCCAUGGCCCAUUUCCCAGCAGUGAAUGACUCACCAGCCAGGGUCCAGCUGUGCCCAGCCGCCACCAUGAAGGAGCCAGGAGCUGCACAAUGGUCACUCUGGGGCCCCCAGAGCCUCAGCCACUGGCAGGAAGGGUGGACUUGCCAGUCCCCUGCCUGGGCUCCGGCCCGGCUCACGUCCCCUGGGAGGUCAUCCCAGGCCCACGGUCCCCCCACCAGAAUGGCCUGGCUGGUGCUGUGGAAGAAUGGGAGGAUGGACAUGUCACCCAUGUUGGGCUCACAGGUCACAGCAGCGCAAGGCACAGAACCCCCCAGAGGAGACCCCGUGCCACCCUCAGACAAGGAGAGCCUGCAGUCCACACACACCAGGAGUGGCCCCAUCCGGGCCUGGAAGGAAGGACUGUCACGCCAGGGACACAGGCGUGACUCCUGAUGUGCAGUGUCCAGGUGGCAAAUCACAAGACAGAACCAGACUGGGGUGGGAGGGGCACGGCCCGGCACAGAGCCCGGGAGAAAGGGUUGCUGUGGAGCCGGAGAGGACGUGCCGUGAGUCCAGCACAUGAGGGCGUGGGGCCCCUGAGGGCCACAGGCUGCUCCUGGGGUGGUGCUUAAGGCCCUCUGCUCGGGCCGUGGGCUCGCCCCCAUCCUCACUUGAUGGAAGUCUUGCUGCCCCACACCUGGGCCUGCGCCUCUGAACCCAGCGUCCUAGGCCUCUGCGUCUUCCACAGGAUUCUGCAGCGUCCCCUCACUGAGCUCUUUCCCAGCCAAACACCGUGAAAUCCUCUUUCCCCACCGCAGGCUGCUUCCGUCUGACCCUGGGGAAUCUUCUUCCAAAGUUCACAGUGCCAACUCGGUAAAAAGCAGAAUGCGUGUUGGA